rnacentral:rRNA from 1 species
GUGGGGAAUAUUGGACAAUGGGCGAAAGCCUGAUCCAGCCAUGCCGCGUGUGUGAAGAAGGUCUUCGGAUUGUAAAGCACUUUAAGUUGGGAGGAAGGGCAGUAAGUUAAUACCUUGCUGUUUUGACGUUACCAACAGAAUAAGCACCGGCUAACUUCGUGCCAGCAGCCGCGGUAAUACGAAGGGUGCAAGCGUUAAUCGGAAUUACUGGGCGUAAAGCGCGCGUAGGUGGUUCAGCAAGCUGGAGGUGAAAUCCCCGGGCUCAACCUGGGAACUGCCUCCAAAACUACUGAGCUAGAGUACGGUUGAGGGUAGUGGAAUUUCCUGUGUAGCGGUGAAAUGCGUAGAUAUAGGAAGGAACACCAGUGGCGAAGGCGACUACCUGGACUGAUACUGACACUGAGGUGCGAAAGCGUGGGGAGCAAACAGGAUUAGAUACCCUUGUAGUCC